UGAAGACCUUGUAUGGAGGAAAAUGAGAUCCUGAGUGAAGUCUACAAUGUCAUUGACUCUAAAGAAGGACUCAGAGACCCAUUGGUGUUUAAUGACCCUUACUGGCCCAUGCAAUGGGAACUUGUAUGAUCUUCAAAAAUAGAUGGUUCUUUGGCAAUGUUAAGAAAUAUUAUUUUUGUCAAAUUUUAAUGCAGUAGACAGACGUUUUUAUGCACUGGCUGCUUUUAUCUAUUGAUACUGGAGAGAGAGAACUUAGCAAAGUUUGAUGGAGUAUUAUUGUUAGCUUAUUAAUGAGAAAUAAUAUUUUUAAUUUGAUUACAACCUUAGGGCUUAGUUUAAUUGAGAAAAGGAAUCAGCUAGAAAUAAAAAAAUAACUAAAAUGUUAAAUUUGUUCAUGAAAAUAGCCUCAUUACACAAAAACGCUGUUG
ensembl:lincRNA Gm28448 predicted gene 28448